GACGAACGCUGGCGGCGUGCUUAACACAUGCAAGUCGAACGGAAAGGCCCUGCUUUUGUGGGGUGCUCGAGUGGCGAACGGGUGAGUAACACGUGAGUAACCUGCCCUUGACUUUGGGAUAACUUCAGGAAACUGGGGCUAAUACCGGAUAGGAGCUCCUGCUGCAUGGUGGGGGUUGGAAAGUUUCGGCGGUUGGGGAUGGACUCGCGGCUUAUCAGCUUGUUGGUGGGGUAGUGGCUUACCAAGGCUUUGACGGGUAGCCGGCCUGAGAGGGUGACCGGCCACAUUGGGACUGAGAUACGGCCCAGACUCCAACGGGAGGCAGCAGGGGGGAAUAUUGCACAAUGGGCGGAAGCCUGAUGCAGCAACGCCGCGUGCGGGAUGACGGCCUUCGGGUUGUAAACCGCUGUCGCCUGUGACGAAGCGUGAGUGACGGUAAUGGGUAAAGAAGCACCGGCUAACUACGUG
rnacentral:rRNA from 1 species